UUAUUAGCUUGCUUCCUGAUAAUCUUAGCGAAAUUGGUGUGGAGUACGUUGAGGUAGGGAUUUAGCAUUUUGAUAUCUGGCUUAUUUGGUAAUACAACUACAAGACGAGGAAAGUCAGUGACCACAUGACACUUUUUAAAGCUUUUGAAGGAUAGAAGGAUGCAAACCGUAAUGGAAAGAGUCCUGUCACUUUGCAAAUGACAAAGGAUAUGAGAAUGCAAU